AGGAGCAGGGGCACGUGGAGUAAGCAAGGAGGACCCCAGGGCUUUCCGGAGGUUUCCAAUUCCCUUACCUGCGCUUCUGCGGUCUUUGAGGGGGAUCUGUUUUAUUUGCCCUGGAGUCAUUUUAAAAAGCUGGGUUGGAAGACACAUCUGUUAAUUUCAAUACUUACUGUACAACUACAGCCAUCCAGACAAUGUGGAAUUGGUGCAAGAUGAACAGAUACAUCAAUGGGACAGACUAAAGAGUCAACUGAUGUUCAACAAAAAGUACAAGAUAAUUAAUUGAGAAGUGAUGGCGUUUUCAACAAGCAAUGCUAGAACAACCUUGUGAAACACACAAAGCAAAACAAAACCUUGAACUCUUCCCAUGAACCACAUGCAGAAAUCGGUCUGAAAUAAAUUGUAGACCUAAAGAUAAAAUCUAACACUGCAAAAUUCUAUAAAUAAAAUGUAAUAGAAAAUCUUUUCAA